CCUGUUACAUUAUAGCUCCCGUGUACUGAUUUUCACUUCAUUUGUCUUGCCUGGGAGUGCGGCAACGAGCAAGUGGCUACACCUGUGGUUUAAAUCAGAUGUUGGCAAUCUGCUAAGUAGUGCUUUUGUACAUUGUGUGGUCUUUGUGCUUGAGGACAUUGAGUUGAUUUUAGACUGGCUACUGGCCUUAAUACAGUUGAGAAGCCUUAGAGCUGAUUUUCUAAAGGAAAACUUUGGAGUUGUCAUUUACCUUAACAUAAAAGGCGGUUUUCCAGGAGGGUCUGACACAGUUUCUCAACAGUGUGGGAAAGGAGUGGACUUGUGAAACUCUUUUGGACCUCUCGGAAUGACACCUUGCUUAAUCGAGUGAUUGUGCUUUACUGAAUUUUUCCAUUGUUGAAGACUCCAUCAGAGCCUUUGCUGUUGCAGCUGAGGUCAUCUAGCUAAUCAAGCAGCAAGAGCACAUCACAACUGGGACAAACAAAUCAAGCAAAUGAAGCAGCUGAUAAGAGACAACCACUGAAGAAAUUAAUUGCUCUUCUCAAGACUUUUCCAAUUUCAUUUAUGCUGUUGUUCAUUUGUUUUACUCUUUAUUUCUUCAAGCUUUUUUUUUUGUUAAAGGCUUCUGUGAUUUCUUCAUGUGACUACUGCUGACAGGAGUACUCACGUACAUAAAAUAUCCGUCUGAAUGUAUAAUUCUUCUUAAUCAGAUCAAAAGACAAACAGAUGACAUGGACGUAGAUUAAAUGGGAAGGUCUCAGCCUCUUGUACAGGAAUUAAUUUAAUAAAAAGAUAUUUGUCUUGAUGACAUGCAUUUCUUCCUAACAAAGCCAGACCAUUCCCCAGAGGAAGGGUUAGAUGAGAUUUGACUCUACAGCUAGAUGAUGUGUGGAAGGUGGGAAUCCUUGCUUACUGCUUUUUCUGAGUUAGCAAGGUUUAUGGCUAGUUCUCAAUAAAUGCUGACCUAGCUUUCUCUUUCCUUUUCUCCUGUUUGUGGCUCACUUUUCCAUGAGGUGCUUCAGCAUUCAUUUCCAUUGCUCUGGUGAAGAGCUGUGUCUGGCUAGUCUUCCUUAAAAUUUACCUCUGAAAGAACAAAACAUUUUGACAGGAUUCCCUGUGUUAUGAUCAUUUGUGCACUCAUAGGAUGAGGUUGAAUUUCUUUUUUUAAUUUUUAUGUAGCAUUACUUGAUCCUAUAAAUACUACUUGGUUAGAACUAAUUUAAGUUUUAUGAUAGGAGAAGUUUCCAAUUACAGUGCAAGUAAAUGUUUAUUUGCCUGUCUUAUUUAUACU